rnacentral:tRNA from 1 species
GGAUUGUUAGCUCAGUAGGAAGAGCGUCCGCCUUUAAGCGGAAGGUCGCAGGUUCAAUUCCUGCACAAUCCA